UACGGGGGGGAGCAAGCGUUGUUCGGAUUUACUGGGCGUAAAGGGCGCGUAGGCGGCGCAACAAGUCACUUGUGAAAUCUCCGGGCUUAACCCGGAGCGGUCAAGUGAUACUGUCGUGCUAGAGUGCGGAAGGGGCUACUGGAAUUCUCGGUGUAGCGGUGAAAUGCGUAGAUAUCGGAGAGGAACACCUGCGGCGAAGGCGGGUAGCUGGGCCGACACUGACGGCUGAGGCGCGAAAGCCAGGGGAGCGAACGGG
rnacentral:rRNA from 1 species